CAUGUGUAGCGGUGAAAUGCGUAGAUAUAUGGAGGAACACCAGUGGCGAAAGCGGCUCUCUGGUCUGUCACUGACGCUGAGGCUNGAAAGCGUGGGUAGCGAACAGGAUUAGAUACCCUGGUAGUNCACGCCGUAAACGAUGAGUGCUAGGUGUUAGGCCCUUUCCGGGGCUUAGUGCCGGAGCUAACGCAAUAAGCACUCCGCCUGGGGAGUACGACCGCAAGGUUGAAACUCAAAGGAAUUGACGGGGGCCCGCACAAGCGGUGGAGCAUGUGGUUUAAUUCGAAGCAACGCGAAGAACCUUACCAGGUCUUGACAUCCCGAUGCUAUUCUUAGAGAUAGGAAGUUACUUCGGUACAUCGGAGACAGGUGGUGCAUGGUUGUCGUCAGCUCGUGUCGUGAGAUGUUGGGUUAAGUCCCGCAACGAGCGCAACCCUUAUUGUUAGUUGCCAUCAUUAAGUUGGGCACUCUAGCGAGACUGCCGGUAAUAAACCGGAGGAAGGUGGGGAUGACGUCAAAUCAUCAUGCCCCUUAUGACCUGGGCUACACACGUGCUACAAUGGUCGGUACAACGAGUUGCAAGCCGGUGACGGCAAGCUAAUCUCUGAAAGCCGAUCUCAGUUCGGAUUGGAGGCUGCAACUCGCCUCCAUGAAGUCGGAAUCGCUAGUAAUCGCGGAUCAGCACGCCGCGGUGAAUACGUUCCCGGGCCUUGUACACACCGCCCGUCACACCACGAGAGUUUGUAACACCCGAAGUCGGUGAGGUAACCUUUUA
rnacentral:rRNA from 1 species